rnacentral:rRNA from 1 species
GGGCCCGCACAAGCGGAGGAACAUGUGGUUUAAUUCGAUGAUACGCGAGGAACCUUACCCGGGCUUGAAAUGCAGACGACCGAAGUGGAAACACUUCUUCCAGCAAUGGCGUCUGUGUAGGUGCUGCAUGGUUGUCGUCAGCUCGUGCCGUGAGGUGUCGGCUUAAGUGCCAUAACGAGCGCAACCCUUAUCAUUAGUUACUAACAGGUUAAGCUGAGGACUCUAAUGAGACUGCCACCGUAAGGUGUGAGGAAGGUGGGGAUGACGUCAAAUCAGCACGGCCCUUACGUCCGGGGCGACACACGUGUUACAAUGGGGGGUACAGAGGGUCGCUACCACGUGAGUGGAUGCUAAUCUCAUAAAGCCUCUCUCAGUUCGGAUCGGAGUCUGCAACUCGACUCCGUGAAGCUGGAUUCGCUAGUAAUCGCGCAUCAGCCAUGGCGCGGUGAAUACGUUCCCGGGCCUU